UACGAAGGGGGCUAGCGUUGUUCGGAAUUACUGGGCGUAAAGGGCUCGUAGGCGGCCAACUAAGUCGGACGUGAAAUCCCCAGGCUCAACCUGGGAACUGCGUCCGAUACUGGAUGGCUUGAAUCCGGGAGAGGGAUGCAGAAUUCCAGGUGUAGCGGUGAAAUGCGUAGAUAUCUGGAGGAAUACCGGUGGCGAAAGGCGGCAUCCUGGACCGGCAUUGACGCUGAGGAGCGAAAGCCAGGGGAGCCAAAGCGGG
rnacentral:rRNA from 1 species